rnacentral:rRNA from 1 species
GACGAACGCUGGCGGCGUGCUUAACACAUGCAAGUCGAACGGACCGGCCCUGCUUUUGUGGAGUGCUGGAGUGGAGACCGGGUGAGUAACCCGUGUGUACCCUGCACCUGCCUUUGGGAUGAAUUCAUGACACUUGGGCUCAUACCGGGUAAGAGUUACCGCUGCAUGGUGGGGGUUGGAAGGUUUCGGUGGUUGGGGAUGGACUGGCGGCCUAACAGCUUGUUGGUUGGGUGGUGGCAUACCAAGGCUUUGAAGGGUGGCCGGGCUGGGAGGGUGACCGGCCACAUUGGGACGGGGAUGAGGCCCAGACUCAUACGGGAGGCAGCAGUGGGGAAGAUUGCACAAUGGGCGGAAGGCUGAUGCAGCAACGCCGCGUGCGGGAUGAGGGCCAUCGGGUAGUAAACCGCUUUCGCCUGUGACGAAGCGUGAGUGACGGUAAUGGGUAAAGAAGCACCGGCUAACUACGUG